rnacentral:rRNA from 1 species
AGCGAACGCUGGCGGCGUGCCUAACACAUGCAAGUCGAACGUGAAAAGGGAAACCUGAGUAAAGUGGCGUACGGGUGAGUAACGCGUAGGUAAUCUACCCCAGAAUCUGGAAUAACCUGCCGAAAGGCGGGCUAAUACUGGAUAGAGCGAGGGAACUCGUAAGAGAGUUUUUCGGGAAUGGGAGCCCGCAAGGGCCUUCGUUCUGGGAUGAGCCUGCGUCUCAUUAGCUAGUUGGUAAGGUAACGGCUUACCAAGGCGAUGAUGAGUAGCUGGUCUGAGAGGAUGAUCAGCCACACUGGAACUGAAACACGGUCCAGACUCCUACGGGAGGCAGCAGUGGGGAAUCUUGCGCAAUGGACGAAAGUCUGACGCAGCCACGCCGCGUGAGUGAAGAAGGCCUUCGGGUUGUAAAGCUCUGUCGGAUGGGACGAACAUCUUCAUAGUGAAUAGCUAUGAGGACUGACGGUACCAUCAAAGGAAGCACCGGCUAACUCCGUG